GACGAACGCUGGCGGCGUGCUUAACACAUGCAAGUCGAACGGAAAGGCCCUGCUUUUGUGGGGUGCUCGAGUGGCGAACGGGUGAGUAACACGUGAGUAACCUGCCCUUGACUUUGGGAUAACUUCAGGAGACUGGGGCUAAUACCGGAUAGGAGCUCCUGCUGCAUGGUGGGGGUUGGAAAGUUUCGGCGGUUGGGGAUGGACUCGCGGCUUAUCAGCUUGUUGGUGGGGUAGUGGCUUACCAAGGCUUUGACGGGUAGCCGGCCUGAGAGGGUGACCGGCCACAUUGGGACUGAGAUACGGCCCAGACUCCUACGGGAGGCAGCAGUGGGGAAUGUUGCACAAUGGGCGGAAGCCUGAUGCAGCAACGCCGCGUGCGGGAUGACGGCCUUCGGGUUGUAAACCGCUUUCGCCUGUGACGAAGCGUGAGUGACGGUAAUGGGUAAAGAAGCACCGGCUAACUACGUG
rnacentral:rRNA from 1 species